CCGUAGUAUAGUGGUCAGUAUGCAAGCUUGUCACGCUUGAGACCCGGGUUCAAUUCCCGGCGGGAGAG
rfam:Trichoderma harzianum strain T6776 Scaffolds0126.1, whole genome shotgun sequence.